UACGGAGGGCGCGAGCGUUGUCCGGAAUCACUGGGCGUAAAGGGCGCGUAGGCGGCCCUGGUAAGUCUGCGGUGAAAGCCCGGGGCUCAACCCCGGGUCGGCCGCGGGUACUGCCGGGCUGGAGUGCCGUAGGGGCAGGCGGAAUUCCGGGUGUAGCGGUGGAAUGCGUAGAUAUCGGAAGGAACAUCAGUGGCGAAAGCGGCUUCCUGGACCAGUACCGACGUUCAGGCGCGAAAGCGUGGGGAGCAAACAGG
rnacentral:rRNA from 1 species